AACUAGUAUACUUUCAUUCACAAAAUAUGGUCACAUUUUGCUUCCAACUAAUAUCAUUUUCAAUAAUAGCAAAUCUCAUAUUUGUUAUAGCAGCUAGAAAUUAUCCAACUAACAUGUCUCCAUCAUUGCCCUUACCACCAAAUGUUUGGACAUUAUUACGAUACCAUCUUCAUCUAUUAUUCAAUACACCAUCUCUGUCAUUAUUACCAUCAGUACUACCUCGUAUACGAAGUAGGUUUUCUUUCAAUGUAGUUGGAGGAGGUACUUUAGGAGCAGUAGAUUUUUCUGACUUGGAAAAGACAAUGAGAAUCUGCAUCAAGACUAGAACCAAGACCAAGAAAACUGCACAAAAUACAACUCCUCCCCAAGAGAAUGGACACCAUUCAAAAAACUUUAUAGCACUCAAGAAAAGGAAACAUGACCAACAGAUAACAACCUGCAUAUCAACAAAUAACUAGUUGUUAAACAGGAGAACAAAUGGAACUAGCUAUUUUAUAAAUUUGCUCCCUCCUCACCAUUAA